GAUGAACGCUGGCGGCGUGCCUAAUACAUGCAAGUCGAGCGAACGGACGAGAAGCUUGCUUUUCUGAUGUUAGCGGCGGACGGGUGAGUAACACGUGGAUAACCUACCUAUAAGACUGGGAUAACUUCGGGAAACCGGAGCUAAUACCGGAUAAUAUUUUGAACCGCAUGGUUCAAAAGUGAAAGACGGUCUUGCUGUCACUUAUAGAUGGAUCCGCGCUGCAUUAGCUAGUUGGUAAGGUAACGGCUUACCAAGGCAACGAUGCAUAGCCGACCUGAGAGGGUGAUCGGCCACACUGGAACUGAGACACGGUCCAGACUCCUACGGGAGGCAGCAGUAGGGAAUCUUCCGCAAUGGGCGAAAGCCUGACGGAGCAACGCCGCGUGAGUGAUGAAGGUCUUCGGAUCGUAAAACUCUGUUAUUAGGGAAGAACAUAUGUGUAAGUAACUGUGCACAUCUUGACGGUACCUAAUCAGAAAGCCACGGCUAACUACGUGCCAGCAGCCGCGGUAAUACGUAGGUGGCAAGCGUUAUCCGGAAUUAUUGGGCGUAAAGCGCGCGUAGGCGGUUUUUUAAGUCUGAUGUGAAAGCCCACGGCUCAACCGUGGAGGGUCAUUGGAAACUGGAAAACUUGAGUGCAGAAGAGGAAAGUGGAAUUCCAUGUGUAGCGGUGAAAUGCGCAGAGAUGUGGAGGAACACCAGUGGCGAAGGCGACUUUCUGGUCUGUAACUGACGCUGAUGUGCGAAAGCGUGGGGAUCAAACAGGAUUAGAUACCCUGGUAGUCCACGCCGUAAACGAUGAGUGCUAAGUGUUAGGGGGUUUCCGCCCCUUAGUGCUGCAGCUAACGCAUUAAGCACUCCGCCUGGGGAGUACGACCGCAAGGUUGAAGCUCAAAGGAAUUGACGGGGGCCCGCACAAGCGGUGGAGCAUGUGGUUUAAUUCGAAGCAACGCGAAGAACCUUACCAAAUCUUGACAUCCUUUGACAACUCUAGAGAUAGAGCCUUCCCCUUCGGGGGACAAAGUGACAGGUGGUGCAUGGUUGUCGUCAGCUCGUGUCGUGAGAUGUUGGGUUAAGUCCCGCAACGAGCGCAACCCUUAAGCUUAGUUGCCAUCAUUAAGUUGGGCACUCUAAGUUGACUGCCGGUGACAAACCGGAGGAAGGUGGGGAUGACGUCAAAUCAUCAUGCCCCUUAUGAUUUGGGCUACACACGUGCUACAAUGGACAAUACAAAGGGCAGCGAAACCGCGAGGUCAAGCAAAUCCCAUAAAGUUGUUCUCAGUUCGGAUUGUAGUCUGCAACUCGACUACAUGAAGCUGGAAUCGCUAGUAAUCGUAGAUCAGCAUGCUACGGUGAAUACGUUCCCGGGUCU
rnacentral:rRNA from 1 species